CACCAGCACACACACCAACACACACAUCAGCACACCUUCUCUCCCUUCUCCCAUUCCAUCAUGCCCAACCCAGCAGCACCACUGGUGCGUACCCCUGCCAGACAAUUUGACAAAUACCCCGCUAAAGUGGACACCUUCCAUAGACACAGUUUGGUCCCGUCCUAUCCGUCAGUAAUGACUGGAAUACCUCCUAUGGUUCCACCUGCUGGACCAUUCA